rnacentral:rRNA from 1 species
ACACAUGCAAGUCGAACGAAGUCUUCGGACUUAGUGGCGGACGGGUGAGUAACGCGUGAGAAUCUGCCUUCAGGAUGGGGACAACAGUUGGAAACGACUGCUAAUACCCAAUAUGCAGCAAUGUGAAAUAUUUUUUGCCUGAAGAGGAGCUCGCGUCCGAUUAGUUAGUUGGUGAGGUAAGAGCUUACCAAGGCGGCGAUCGGUAGCUGGUCUGAGAGGAUGAGCAGCCACACUGGGACUGAGACACGGCCCAGACUCCUACGGGAGGCAGCAGUGGGGAAUUUUCCGCAAUGGGCGAAAGCCUGACGGAGCAAUACCGCGUGAGGGAGGAAGGCUUUUGGGUUGUAAACCUCUUUUUUUAAGGAAGAAGAAAGUGACGGUACUUAAAGAAUCAGCAUCGGCUAACUCCGUGCCAGCAGCCGCGGUAAUACGGAGGAUGCAAGCGUUAUCCGGAAUCAUUGGGCGUAAAGCGUCCGCAGGUGGCGAUUCAAGUCUGCUGUUAAAGACAGAAGCUUAACUUCUGAAAAGCGGUGGAAACUGGAUAGCUAGAGUACGGUAGGGGUUGAGGGAAUUCCCAGUGUAGCGGUGAAAUGCGUAGAUAUUGGGAAGAACACCAGUGGCGAAGGCGCUCAACUGGGCCGUAACUGACACUCAGGGACGAAAGCUAGGGUAGCGAAAGGGAUUAGAUACCCCUGUAGUCUUAGCUGUAAACGAUGAACACUAGGCGUUGCUUGUAUCGACCCGAGCAGUGCCGUAGCCAACGCGUUAAGUGUUCCGCCUGGGGAGUACGCACGCAAGUGUGAAACUCAAAGGAAUUGACGGGGGCCCGCACAAGCGGUGGAGUAUGUGGUUUAAUUCGAUGCAACGCGAAGAACCUUACCAGGACUUGACAUCUCGAGAAUCUUGUAGAGAUACAAGAGUGCCUUAGGGAACUCGAAGACAGGUGGUGCAUGGCUGUCGUCAGCUCGUG